rnacentral:lncRNA from 1 species
UAUACUAUCAGUCGUUGAUUCUUUAUUGUAUGAGACUUUAGUAUCUAAGACUUGCUUCAUCAUCAGUGAUGGUAUACCUGUAGUUUGGUGUAGAAUAGUAUUAUUGCAAGCUUCAGUGUCUCAUUAAUGCUCAGCUUGUUUCAAUGGAAGAUAGUGGGAAGAAAAUAUGAAUUUGUUGGAUUCCAACUGAAAUUGAUAUUCUUUCCCUUUUUAUUUGGUUUCUGGGUACUAUCUCUUUAUUUAAAGUACCCACCUCAUGUCUAUGAACUGACUUACUCGUGUCGUUUACUUCGUACUCAAUAUUAAUUUUUCUCUAAUGGUUGUUUAUGUUUUUGAUACAUUUCGAAUUGCAUUUCCCUCCGGUACUCUCAUUGUGGGUCCCGAUUUAUGUAAGAGAACGUGCUCUAUAAAGACUUCAAGGACAGAGACGUUAGCGAGAUAUACAUAAAAUACCGUCAGCUAUUUAGCGACAGCUACGAUGCAGACAAGUACGCUAUCACUCCAAUGAAGUUGUGCAGAACGAGAUUUAGCCUGUACGAGGAUAGUACGCUCGAGGACAAUAGGGAUGCAAUCCCGAUGUACGAUGAGAGCAGUGGUUCGAGUGAUGAGGCCGAACAGAUGGUGGUUCGUGCCCGCGAGAACGUUUCUAGCACCACAUGUGGCAAUAAAAGGAAAUCUUCCAGCUGGCAGCGAAGGGGCAGGAAAAAAAAAAGAUGUCUGCUUAUGAACUGUCUUUCUCAAUAGACCGUGCCACUAGUGCAGCGGAGGAAAUGGCGGCGAAAAUUCAUAUGAUGAUGGCUUCAAAUGAAAGCGCUGGUGCGAACUAUGUCGAAGAGUUGCUAGCGAUAAGUCGGCUCGAGCGGCGUACACCUCUUUACUUUUACACAUGCCAGCUUCUGGCCCAUAAGCAGUACCGUGACACGCUCGCCGUCAUGAAAGACGUGGACGAGAAAUUUGAGUGGAUCGAGUGGAUGUUCAACGACCAGGGGAAGUAAUUGUGGCAAUGAAUGUGUGUUUUUUUUUAUUUCUUUUACAUUUCC